UUGGUCCCUUGAGGCCUUUACAGGGUGUCCUUCAGGGGGCAGAGUCCCUUCAUGGAACAAGGCACCAAGAGUCAUUAAUCAGGAAUAACAAACCCCACAAGUCCUGUUUCCUCAGAACUGAACGGAAUAAUUACCAAGUUGGUGUGGGGUGAUGUGAGAGAGCGGCCAUAUUUCCCAUCUGCUUAAGCAGCCUGAGGGAGGGACUCGAGGAGGAGGAAGGGUUAAUGCGUACUAUGGCGGGUGCCACUAUUCUGUGUUAAGCCAAGCAGCCUAGAAGUUGGAGCCAGGCUGGAGCCAAGAUGGCUGGCUCCCCAGCCUGCCCCACCAAGAGAAUUGCCUCAGGAUGACAGAGAACUUCUCCCUCCUCAGAGAGCAGCUCUUGGACCUUGAAGGGGGAGGGAGCCUCUACUGGCUCUUCUCCUUCAACCCUCCUUCUCAUUGGCUCCCUGGUAUGUCUGUUUCAGAUAAGAGGUGGCCCACUUACCUGGGCCUUGUUAGUUUGAUUUACCCCUCCCUUGCUUGAAUUCCUCAAAUCCCAGCAGCCUUUUACAACAGCCUGACACAGAUAACAUGGCUGCAGUUAUUUUAUUCCUUUGAUAAAGCAAAAGAAAAAUGCAGAGAAAGAGAGGCAGAAGCAGGGAGUCAGAGGAAAACCCCAAGGAUAAAUGUAAUGGAUGGCAAAGUCUCUUUGAACUUAUGUAUACAAACCAGCCCAGCUACUAUCCUCAACAUCCUCCUGAAGGCCAGAAAGCCAUAAAAAUUUCCAGAGUUUGAGCAGUCAUGAGAGGCAUCAAGUGCAGGACAAACUCUUAUUGUAAUGCUUCGGGAAGAAAGAGAGAAAAAUCCUCAUCCUGAGCACACAGCCCCAAUUGUAAAGCAGGCUCAUGCUGGCCUUGUAAAAAUCUGUUUAUUUAUGUAUAUUAUAUAGGCUGAGCAAGUGA